AUGAACCGAUGUAGUAUUUGUCAACCGUCCAACUCUAUACAGCUCUGCUCUCUCUCUCUCUCUCUCUCUCUCUCUCGUAAGCCCUAGAUUUCUCUCUCUGCUCUCUCUCUCUCUCGCGUUGAAGCCCACUUUCUCUCUCUGCUCUCUCUCUCACGUCUAAGCCCUAGCUUUCUCUCUCUCUCGUCUAAGCCCUAGCUUUGUCUCUCUGCUCUCUCUGUCGUGCCGAAGCCCUAGCUUUGUCUCUCUGCUCUCUAUCUUUAGAUGAAAAAGAUGUGAACAAGAUGAUGUUGUAGAUUCGAUAUAGUCUCCCUAUUCGAGUUAUCUCUCUGGUUCGCCUCUCUAUUCGAGUUCUCUCUCUGGUUUGGACACGAGAAACAGUCAUUUGGAGCCACAAUAUCUUCGAAUUUCAGACGGCUAUACGCAUCAAUUUGGAGCAAAAAAUCAGUUGUACGGCUUAUGGGAUGUGCUGCUUCACACAUUACAUUAGAGUGUGCUUUACAAACUCAUCCCAACAUUACCCUUAUUGGAGAAGAGUGUGCAGAUGUAGUCCGCUUUCCAUGGUUGCUUUCAUUUUCUUGAACAAUUAUUACCAACUAAGGAUAGGAUUGAUUAUCACCAGUUCAUUAAGAGCAGAAGAAUCAGAAUUUCUAUGAUUCCAGUCUACAACAAAGCAAGGGAUCUCCUCAAGGGAUGCUUCGGUCUGUAACAACAUACAGGGUAUCUGUAAGAUAUGAAUUUAUAAUUGGCUAAUUUCGUUGUCAAAAUAAGUCCGAUCAAGUUGUAAUUUUUCGGUUCAAAAUUUCAAAGAUUGAAGAUCGGAUGUGGAUUUGAAGAAGUACAAGUGUUCAUGGUUUACUACACUUCGGGAUAAUGAGAACAAUAUUUUAGGAAGGUAUGUGAGUGAGUGAGAACACUUGAGGGAGUUUAGAAGGUUGAAGGAAACAAAGAUUUUCACUUCUGUCCAUUGGGAACGGGUAGGAGAAUCCUUGGUCUACAACAAGUUUGGUCACUGCCAAUCUUGAACCGGUAUUCACAGUUGGGAACCGGUAGCCAAAAUGCAUCAAAAAGGCUUCUGACCUUCUUGAACUAGUACCAAGUUUGGGAACCAGUACCAAGAGUCCUGACAGUAUUAGAACUUUCAGUUUCUUGUUCUAAUUGUUUCCUUUUUUAUCCCAACUUCUUUCCAAGUCCUAUACACGAAAUUUUUCAUAUUUUUAGAGGGACUAGGACAUUCUAAACUCUAUAUAAACCUUGGUAGUCAUCUAGGUUGAAACAUGACUUUAGGGAAAAUCAAUUCUAUAUUUUGAGAAAGCUUUUUAGAGAGAGAAAAUUCAGAAAAUCAAAUCUGAUUAUUCUGAAUUUAUUUAUGAGAGCACACACAUAUAUUCAUGAGUGAUUUAUUGGUGUUGCUCUCUAUCUCAUCGGAAUUGGAACUAUAUUGAAGAUUCAGAUAUUCCGUAUGAAGAGCAAGAUUUAAUUCUUCUACAUCGAGUUCAGAUCUUGAAGAACAGUUUUAAAAACGAUCACACUUUGAAAGGGUUGGAGCAUUCGAGUAGUGUUGUCUAAUCUAUCUGUUACUCUUCUACAAAUAUCAAGCAUAAGCCUGAGGUCAAGUUGUUGUUGGACAGGGAGUCACAAAGCCAGAGAAUUGUUAGCAAUUGGUGUUUAGUAGAAUGAUAGGGUGUGAGCCAGAGUCAAAGUUUAGUGUACUUUGUUUCAAACAUAGUAGAUUGAUUUACUUUGGACUGAAUAAUCCACGAGGUUUUUCCCAUGCAAAUAAUUAAUGUAUCUUAUCAACUAGGGUUUCCUCGCUAAAAAUCCUAGUGCAAUCUCUCUAAACUUUUACUUGCUUUAUUUUACAUAUAUUCGUGAUUGUGGUUGUUUAAAUUGAUCAUAUAAUUUAAUCAAUCACAAAAUCGAGCAAGUUAGCCUAAUAUUCAGAUCUAGGUCAUUAAAGGAGUUAAUCACAAUUGAAAUCAACUAACAAUUUUCGCACCCCGCGUAACUCUAUUUUCACAGUAUCACCAAGCCGAUGAUUUAGAAGAUUAUGUGUGUAUGUGCAUAUAUAUAUAUAUAUAUAUAUAUAUAUAUAUAUAUAUAUAUAUAUAUAUAGACGUCCAACUUCUCUGCUCCCAAAUUUCUAACUCCACCAAUUGCUCUUCGAUCUCGCUAUUUAUGUCGAGCUUGCAAUUGAAGCAAUAGAGUAUGGAUUAUAUAUAUAUAUAUAUAUACACACACACACAUGGAAGAUUUGCUUUCUAUUUGGGAUUUGAACUUUCGUCUCAACGCUCUGAGCCUCACUUACCCACUCCUCUCUCUCACAUCUCUCACACACACAUAGCUUUACACACAGCCAUGCCCACCACCACCACUUUGUACAGUCAACGUCUCUCUCUCAUCUCAUCUUUGUAUAAUCGAUUGAUGAUGGAUAAGAGAAGAUUGGCGAUGGCCAAUCGAUGGCGUGACGAGAAAUAUUCGACGAAGGCUAACCACUGGUUAACGGCGAUGGCUUGAUUUUGGAGAAGACUCCUCGAGCUGAUAAGCAUUACAAGAGGAUUGGUAAGACACCAGAUUGGGAAUGGAUUAGAUACAAACCUAUAGUCGGAGUAUUGGUUACUAAAUGGUCCAAUUGUUACCCAAAUGGCCCUCACUGACAUGGAAAUUCUUCAACUGGACAAUCAUGUGAAAGUAAGUAGCCUAAUUUCCUAAUGGCCAGUGGACAACUCCAUCAUCUCUUCAACUAGUUCCAUUUUUCCAAUCCCAAUCCUUCAAUUCUCAAUGGUAGUGUUUACCAUAACCAACAAAUAUACAAGAUGUGAUUAAAUGGUUGCCUUGUGCCUCAAAGGGGUUCUUACUGGGUCACACUUUGAGUUACUUCACCUUUCCUUCUCUACUAUUCUCUUGGCCUCAUAUAAUUUUGUUCAAGCAUCACAUCCCAAAGUAUGCUCACAUCUCAUGGUUGGCAGUUAAAGGUUGAUUGUAUACAUUAGAUACUAAGCCAAUGAGAAACAAGCAUUAUAAUAAUGCUUGUUAUCUUUGCCUCCCUGAAUUGGAAUAAAUUGAUCACUUGUUCUUUUAAGUGUAAAUUUAGUGGCAUUAUAUGGGAUUUCAUUUAGCAUGCAACUGGUUUCAACUUCAA